GCCGAGCUCAGCAGCGCGAGCUUGUAACCCGAGCGGGGGCAUUAAGGUGGUGUGGACGUUGCGGUACGGCUGCGGGCCCGGGUCGGCAGUGCUACAGAUGGGCCCGCCCGUUCCAAGUUGAGUAGUGGGCCGGCGGGGCUUGGGCGAAAGCUCUGGGGCCCCACGGUUCCUAGAGUGGCAGGCAUGGCGUGAGGCUGGUUUCACAGAGCAGCGAAUACUGCCCGCUUCCAACGGUGGAAGGAUAACGGGCCGCCGGACUGCUGGCCCGCUUGGGUCUCGCAUCCUACUCCAACGGACCACCACUUUU
rfam:Oryza nivara chromosome 6, whole genome shotgun sequence.